rnacentral:rRNA from 1 species
UACGAAGGGGGCUAGCGUUGUUCGGAAUGACUGGGCGUAAAGGGCGCGUAGGCGGCGAUUUUAGUCAGGCGUGAAAGCCCUGGGCUUAACCUAGGAACUGCGUUUGAUACUGGAUCGCUUGAGUGUGGGAGAGGAUGGUGGAAUUGACGGUGUAGCGGUGAAAUGCUUAGAUAUCGUCAAGAACACCGAUAGUGAAGACAGCUAACUAAGCUCAAACUGACGCUGAGGCACGAAAGUGUGGGGAUCAAACAGG